UACCAGCACCCCGAGCGGUCGGGACGUUUAUUGGGCCUAAAGCGUCCGUAGCCGGUUCUACAAGUCUUCCGUUAAAUCCACCUGCUUAACAGAUGGGCUGCGGAAGAUACUAUAGAGCUAGGAGGCGGGAGAGGCAAGCGGUACUCGAUGGGUAGGGGUAAAAUCCGUUGAUCCAUUGAAGACCACCAGUGGCGAAGGCGGCUUGCCAGAACGCGCUCGACGGUGAGGGAUGAAAGCUGGGGGAGCAAACCGG
rnacentral:rRNA from 1 species